GAUGAACGCUGGCGGCGUGCUUAACACAUGCAAGUCGAACGGGAAUUAUUUUAUUGAAACUUCGGUCGAUUUAAUUUAAUUCUAGUGGCGGACGGGUGAGUAACGCGUGGGUAACCUGCCUUAUACAGGGGGAUAACAGUCAGAAAUGGCUGCUAAUACCGCAUAAGCGCACAGAGCUGCAUGGCUCAGUGUGAAAAACUCCGGUGGUAUAAGAUGGACCCGCGUUGGAUUAGCUUGUUGGCAGGGUAACGGCCUACCAAGGCGACGAUCCAUAGCCGGCCUGAGAGGGUGAACGGCCACAUUGGGACUGAGACACGGCCCAGACUCCUACGGGAGGCAGCAGUGGGGAAUAUUGCACAAUGGGGGAAACCCUGAUGCAGCGACGCCGCGUGAAGGAAGAAGUAUCUCGGUAUGUAAACUUCUAUCAGCAGGGAAGAUAGUGACGGUACCUGACUAAGAAGCCCGGCUAACUACGUG
rnacentral:rRNA from 1 species